rnacentral:rRNA from 1 species
UGGGGAAUAUUGGACAAUGGGCGCAAGCCUGAUCCAGCCAUGCCGCGUGUGUGAAGAAGGCCUUUUGGUUGUAAAGCACUUUAAGCGAGGAGGAGGCUACUUGGAUUAAUACUCUAAGAUAGUGGACGUUACUCGCAGAAUAAGCACCGGCUAACUCUGUGCCAGCAGCCGCGGUAAUACAGAGGGUGCGAGCGUUAAUCGGAUUUACUGGGCGUAAAGCGUGCGUAGGCGGCUUCUUAAGUCGGAUGUGAAAUCCCUGAGCUUAACUUAGGAAUUGAAUUCGAUACUGAGAAGCUAGAGUAUGGGAGAGGAUGGUAGAAUGCCAGGUGGAGCGGUGAAAUGAGUAGAGAUCUGGAGGAAUGCCGAUGGCGAAGGCAGCCAUCUGGCCUAAUACUGACGCUGAGGUACGAAAGCAUGGGGAGCAAACAGA